rnacentral:rRNA from 1 species
AAAGAUUUUAUCGCUUUUAGAUGAGCCUUUGUAGGAUUAGGUAGUUGGUAAGGUAAAAGCUUACCAAGCCGAUGAUCCUUAAUUGGUCUGAGAGGAUGUACAAUCACACUAGAACUGAGACAAGGUCUAGACAUCUACGGAUGGCAGCAGUGGGGAAUCUUGAACAAUGGGCGAAAGCCUGAUUCAGCGAUAUAGAGUGAAUGAAGACAGCCAUUUGGUUGUAAAGUUCUUUUACCAAGGAAGAUUAUGACUUUACUUGGAGAAAAAGCCCCGGCAAAUUUCGUGCCAGCAGCCGCGGUGAUACGAAAGGGGCUAGUGUUAUUCGGAAUAAUUGGGUGUAAAGGGUGAGUAGGCUGUAAUCAUAGUUAAAAGUUAAAUCUUAGUAGUAAGUACUAAACUAAUUUUUAAUAACACAUUACUAGAGUAAAAGAGAGGAUUGUAGAAUUUCAAGUGGAGAAAUAAAAUUCGUAGAUUUUUGAAGGAAUAUCGAAAGCGAAGGCAACAAUCUGGCUUUAUACUGACGCUGAUUCACGAAAGCCUAGGUAGCAACCAGGAUUAGAGACCCUGUUAGUCUAGGCCGUAAACGAUGAGCACUCAUUUUUGGGUUAUUAAUAUUCAGAAAUUUAGCUAACGCGUUAAGUGCUCCACCUGAGAAGUACAGUGGCAACACUGAAACUCAAAGGAAUUGACGGGGAUUCAUACAAUUCGUGGAACAUGUGGUUUAAUUCGUAAAUACACGCAAAACCUUACCAACUUUUGAAUAAUUUUAUAUUCUAAUGAAGAAAUUCGUUAUGUUAAAAAUUACAGGUGCUGCAUGGCUGUCGUCAGCUCGUGUCUUGAGAUGUUAGGUUAAGUCCAGUAACGAGCGAAACCCUUUUUCUUUGUUGCAAAAAAUAUUUUAUUGUAUCGUAUUGAUUCAAUUGUAUUUAUGUACUUAAAGAGUAUUGCCUAUGAUAUAUAGGAUGAAAGAAAGGAUGACGUCAAGUCUUCAUGGCCCUUAUGGGUUGGGCUACACAUGUGUUACAACGAUAACAACAAUAAGCUGCAUUAAUGAAAAUUGAAGCAAAUCUAUAAAAGUUAUCUCAGUUCGGAUUGUUUUCUGCAACUCGAAAACAUGAAGUCGGAAUGAAUAGUAAUCGUUUAUCAGCAAGGAACGGUGAAUUUGUACCUGAAUCUUGUACAUACCGCCCGUCACAUCAAGAGAGUUUGCUUAAUUUAAAGAUAUUGUUUGUAUUUACAUUUUUUAGUUUGAAAAUAUUUUUUUAAUAUUUAUAUUAUAAAAUUUAAAAGUGAAUAAUAUUUAGGAUUAGGAAGAUUAUUUUGAUGAAGUCGUAACAAGGUAACGGUAGGGGAACCUGUCGUUG